UGUGGGAGCGAGCUUGCUCGCGAUGGCGUCAGUUCUGUCACAUCGAUAUCAACGGAUAGACCGCUAUCGCGAGCAAGCUCGCUCCCACA
rnacentral:misc_RNA from 1 species